rnacentral:misc_RNA from 1 species
CACAAAUAUGAAAGCAGACCCUCAUUGGGGCGUAACGUCACGCCGUGUCCGCAAUAGCGUCAUUGCUGUUGUGCUGACGCGGCGGGGGGGUAACGCCCUUUUGGGCCAGUCUGACUCCAUAUUCACCCAUGUCUUUUGCGUACUACUUGUUUCCUUGGCGGGCUCGCCCGCCAAUUGGACCCAAUUAAACCUUUUUUGUAAUUGCAAUCAGCGUCAGCAAAACAAUGUAAUAAAUUA